rnacentral:rRNA from 1 species
CUACGGGUCGCAGCAGUGAGGAAUAUUGGUCAAUGGACGAGAGUCUGAACCAGCCAUCCCGCGUGCAGGAUGACGGCCCUAUGGGUUGUAAACUGCUUUUCUAUACCAAGAAACCUGUCUACGUGUAGACAGUUGCCGGUAGUAUAGGAAUAAGCAUCGGCUAACUCCGUGCCAGCAGCCGCGGUAAUACGGAGGAUGCAAGCGUUAUCCGGAUUCAUUGGGUUUAAAGGGUGCGCAGGUGGGAUAGUAAGUCAGUGGUGAAAGCUUGCCGCUUAACGGUAAAACUGCCAUUGAUACUGCUGUCCUUGAGUAUGGUUGAGGUAGGCGGAAUGUGUUGUGUAGCGGUGAAAUGCAUAGAUAUGACACAGAACGCCGAUUGCGAAGGCAGCUUACUAAGCCAUUACUGACGCUGAGGCACGAAAGCGUGGGGAGCGAACAGGAUUAGAUACCCCAGUAGUC